AUGUUACCACCUUCUAUCCAUAUUAUUUGUCUUAGAUUAGUCUAGAUAGGGAUGAAUCUAAAUAAGUUUUAGUGUUCGAUACAUUCCUAUCUAGACAAAUCUAAGGGGAGUAAUAUGGAUUGAAGGAAGUAAUAU
rnacentral:pre_miRNA from 1 species